rnacentral:rRNA from 1 species
GUGAGGAAUAUUGGUCAAUGGGCGAGAGCCUGAACCAGCCAAGUCGCGUGAAGGAAGAAGGAUCUAUGGUUCGUAAUCUUCUUUUGCAGGGGAAUAAAGUGCAGGACGUGUCCUGUUUUGUAUGUACCCUGAGAAUAAGGAUCGGCUAACUCCGUGCCAGCAGCCGCGGUAAUACGGAGGAUCCGAGCGUUAUCCGGAUUUAUUGGGUUUAAAGGGUGCGUAGGUGGUUUGAUAAGUCAGCGGUGAAAGUUUGCAGCUUAACUGUAAAAAUGCCGUUGAAACUGUCGGACUUGAGUGUAAAUGAGGUAGGCGGAAUGCGUGGUGUAGCGGUGAAAUGCAUAGAUAUCACGCAGAACUCCGAUUGCGAAGGCAGCUUACUAAGCUACAACUGACACUGAAGCACGAAAGCGUGGGGAUCAAACAGGAUUAGAUACCCUGGUAGUCC